rnacentral:lncRNA from 1 species
UGGUGUCCCUUCACAGAGUGGUGUCCCUUCACACAGAGUGGUGAUCCCUUCACACAGAGUGGUUGUCCCUUCAUACAGAGUGGUGUCCCUUCACACAGAGUGGUGUCCCUUCACACAGAGUGGUGUCCCUCACCUUGAUGCCCUUCCUAAGAGUGGUGUCCCUUCACACAGAGUGGUGUCCCUUCAUACAGAGUGGUGUCCCUUCACACAGAGUGGGUCCCUUCACACAGAGUGGUGUCCCUCACCACUGAUGCCCUUCCUACAGAGGUGGUGUCCCUCACCCUGAUGCAC